CUCCCAAAUUAGCAAACCUGGCAAGCCCGCAGCUCAGAAAAUAGUUCAUCCUGAUUCCAUGUUUUUCAGGCUCACAGAAGCCUUUAUUAAUGAAGUCACAACACCAAUAUUUACCGUCUGCAGGGAGAGGCACAACAUGGGGGGUGGAUGGGAGUGCGGCAGGGACUCCCCGCCCCGCCCCCCGCAGGCCUGGCCUCGGGAGACUGGCAGGUUUCCUUGGGUCCCUUCCAGCCCUUUAUUCGGAUGACAGGGGGUGCUCUGCUGUGAUCUUCCUGGACCCCCUCCCCCUACCAAGUGAGGCAGGAUCUUGAGAGGAACAGCUCACCCCUUUCUCUGUCCCCCACUGGGGCCAAAAGGAUGACUCUUCCUCCCACCUUCCUUCCACACCUGGGCAUGUGUGCUCCCAGAAGUGAUCCCACCUGCUUGGCAGUGAGGGUCGCCAUGUGGGUUAAUCUGGACUUAUCCAUGUUAGGACUUUCAAGAUGUGCAGAAUGCAUUCCUGACUGAUGGAGGGAGAGGGGGUGUUGGGAUGGGACAAAGCCCUUUGGUUUCUAGCACUGACUGGACACAAGUGAGGUGGGCAGAGGUGGGAGAGAGACGCUGAGAGUGCGAGUGGGACCUGGGUCUGUGCUCCCAGCAGAAGGACCUUGUGUGCUUGGAUCCCUGCAUGUGGCCCAGACAGCAAGGCUGGGUCUCUGACAUCUUUCCAGUGAGUUCCACAUUGAUCAAGCACCCGACAUUCCAGGUGGGAAGAACAGCAUGAGCGAAGGCACAGCACAGGGAAAACCUGUGGCUCACUCAGGGACAGGGAUGGGGAUGCUGAAGCAAAGGGUACCGGGAGCAAGGCAAGAAGAUGGGGCAAAGGGGCUCAGAAGGGGGUGAGUCUGCCCUGUUUGGGUGCAAGGAAGAGAAACCUAGCUGCAACAUGGAGGGCCUCCUUUGAAGUGGACCUCAUCCUUGACAUUCACAGAAACCUCCCUAGAGGAGCAGGGCCCAGGCCAGGCCGGUGGCAGAGGGAGCUGGGCAGGGGGGUAGGGGGUGCUGCAUUAGGGAGGUGUGGUUGGGAAGCCAGUCUAGACUCAACCCACUAGAUGGGAAUGGAUGGGGCUGGGGAAGAGGAGAGGAAGCUUGAGGAAGAUUCCCAGAUUUCCUGUAGCUUGGGAAACUGUGUACAUGUCUAAUGCUGUUUGUCGAGGUGGGUGAUCCUGGAGAAGCACAGAUGGGUAGGUGCGUCCGGCUGUGGAUGUAUGGGCUUUGAGGUGCUGAGGGGCAGGGGGUGGAGCAGGCAGCUGGCUUGACGGGUCUGCAGCUCAGCAGAGGUCAGCUAAAGACACAGGCCAGGGAGCCAAAGAGAAGUCCUGGAAGUGGAUGUGAUCCCCACAAGGCAAAGGACAUAAUGAGGAGUCAGGGAGAGCAAGGACUGACCUGGGGGUGGCCAGAGGGGGUGGCCAGUGACUGUGGUUGGUGACUGUCAUUAGCACCGGCAGAAUGGUGGCAUGGAGGCCAAAGAGCAGAGGUUUCAUGAGCACAUGGGAGGUGAAGAAGAAAGAGAGGGGUCUGGAUGUCGUAAGGGAAAGACUUAGGAAUGCAGAUUUGCUUGUCAGGAAACCUUCAUCCUGACAAGUGGGACAAACAGAAGGGCAGGUGAACACAAGAGCUCAGCGGGCCCUGGCACGUUGCUCUUUCUUGGGCUGAGGAGGCCCUGAGUCACUGGGGACUGGUUGCAGGCUCAGCCUUAAGCCCUGUCUCUG
rnacentral:lncRNA from 1 species